AUUCAGCUUUUUUUCCGUCUGCAAUUGUCGCACGUCUAAAAAUAAAUACGACUUCACGUUGAGUCAAUCACGUUUGCACACUGAGUCCGAAACUUUUGUUCAUUGUUAAAAUUUUCACAUUAGGUUUGAUUUUUUUUUUUUCUCGUAUCCGUCAGACCAUGGACCGCGGAACGCAUCUGCAUACGCAUCCGCAUACUUCUCACCCAGUGAGCAGCGUCUUACCAUGGACACUUAUGAAGAGAUAAAACAUAUAGUCACGAAGAAAGGAAACACUGCAGCGAUAAUAAAGCAGAGAGAGAGCGCGUGGCAAACAAUUGCGGACCGACUGAAUGCGUGAGCAGUGGAAGUUAAGCAGCUGCUGAUUUCACACCAGCAGAAGAGCUCGCCCUGGAUCAGAACCGAGGCAGGCCGAUGAUGGAGGACGGAGGGGGGGAAACCGCCCUCUUCAUACAAGUGUAAGACAAAUUGACAAAUUAAAAGAAACUGGACUAAAUUGGAUUUAGAAAUUACUACAGAAAGA